rnacentral:rRNA from 1 species
GACGAACGCUGGCGGCGUGCUUAACACAUGCAAGUCGAACGAAGUGGCGAACGGGUGAGUAACGCGUAAUCAACCUGCCCUUCAGAGGGGGACAACAGUUGGAAACGACUGCUAAUACCCCAUACUGAGGGAGGGGAUUGCGUCUGAUUAGCUAGUUGGAGGGGGAACGGCCCACCAAGGCGAAUGUCAGUAGGCGGGCGGAGAGGAUGGAUGGCCACAAUGGGACUGAGACACGGCCCAGAAUCCUACGGGGGGCAACAGUGGGGAAACUUCCGCAAUGGACGAAAGGCUGACGGAGCAACGCCGCGGGAGUGAUGACGGCCUUCGGGUUGUAAAGCUCUGUUAAUCGGGACGCGGUACCGGAAUAGAAAGCCACGGCUAACUACGUGCCAGCAGCCGCGGUAAUUC